AAAAACAAAGCUUUGAGCAGUGGUAGUAUUGUAGCCAAUGAAGUUUAUCUGAGGUACAGUUAUUGCUAAUUGAAAAAUAAAUCAAACUAUAC
rnacentral:snRNA from 1 species